UACAGAGGGGGCGAGCGUUGUUCGGAAUUACUGGGCGUAAAGGGCUCGUAGGCGGCCAACUAAGUCGGACGUGAAAUCCCUCAGCUUAACUGGGGAACUGCGUCCGAUACUGGAUGGCUUGGAUUUGGGAGAGGGAUGCGGAAUUCCAGGUGUAGCGGUGAAAUGCGUAGAUAUCUGGAGGAACACCGGUGGCGAAGGCGGCAUCCUGGACCAACACUGACGCUGAGUGAGCGAAAGCCAGGGGAGCAAACGGG
rnacentral:rRNA from 1 species